UCUCCCUUCUCUCUAGUUGGCUGAGUAUAUCGUGUGAUUCUCUCUUAAUUUCUUUCAUCAACUCCCACCUAAACACUCACAUCUCAUCUCAUUCUUAUAUACACAUAGCCUUAGAUCACUUGAGUUGGGUUUGGUGCUAGUGAAAAAGCUAGAAAUCAAAGGUGUGUACUUUUGAUCCCUAGUAUUUCUUCAGCUGCGAUGGUGUGCGACUUUACCCACUCAAGAUUAUGUAGUUGGGCAAGCUAGGGCCAUAAUAGAAAGAAGAGCAUAAUGAAUCAUGGAAUAGAUGGGAGCUAUCUUCAAACUUUUAUGUGUUUUGAUUAUGUUUUGUUGUUCACUUUUUAAGUAAAAUAUGUGGAGGAUUAGUAGUUUGUUGUGACUUAUGUUAAUUGUAAAACUUCACCUAAUAAUUUUAUUUAGUGGUGAUAGUUAUGGUUUGAAUUGAAUAUUAUAUUAGAUUUGA